AAUUCAAAUCAUUUUGAAUUCAAACCAAAACCACUUCAUCCUUAUCCAAUUAGGGUGUCAGAAAGGCUGAGGCAUGAGACAUUUUUCAUGUCAUUUCCUUCUCAAAUUAUCACACAAAACUCAGCCUUCCAAAGGGUAUAGGCGACAAGAUAAGGAUAAGGAUAAGGAUAAGAUUUGGUUUGUUUCAAGUCAAAUUCAAACCUUUUUGAAUUGGAAUGAUGAACCAACUUAUCCUCAUCCAAAUGAAACUAGAGAAGGGGUGACAAAGCACUUCUAGGUAUGGAAAAAAUUCACAUAAGAUCAUUUCUCGCAAGAAGAAAAAAUGGGCACAG
rnacentral:lncRNA from 1 species